UCCCAGCUUCUGGCAGAGAUGAGGGCUGGCGGGAGGGGGAGGAACACAGGGACGAGAGCCUCGCUGUCUUGCAGGUACCUGCUAGCGGAACAUUGCUGAGGGAAGCACAUGCAGCGACUGAGCCAUUAUUCACAGUGAGGAGUCCGUGGCAAGGUUGGAGCGGAGCUGAAUGCAGUCACAAUUCUAUGUGCAAUUAGCUGAGGAUGCUAGCUGCUCCUUAAUCCUCUCCAUAUGGGCUCCAGGAAGCCUGGGGGAAGCCCUGAAGCACAAGGAACCUCCCACAUCCAAACCAUGGAGUGCUCCCUCCAUCUGAAAAGAACACGGUUUUAAGAAAAAAAGACACCAGAAGUGGAGUCUGUUCGUGCCAUUACGGGGGUGCAGGAGUCGGGGGAACCCCAACGCGCCGUCACAUCUGGUCCUGUCUAAAUGAAAGGACCCUGUGGACUGGGGGCAAUGCGUAUGAGGCCCUGAGGCCAACGAAGGAGGAGAGCAUCCCCCAGGGAACCCUGGCCGCGACCCAUGAGGGAGCAGUAGCGAGGACACUUGGCGGAACAGGUCCAGGUGGGGAAAGCCCCAGGUGCGGAAAAUGGAUG